ACGAACGCUGGCGGCGUGCUUAACACAUGCAAGUCGAACGGAAAGGCCUGCUUUCCCUUGUGGAUUGCGGGUACUCGAGUGGCGAACGGGUGAGUAACACGUGAGUGAUCUGCCCCCAACUUGGGUAUAAGCCUGGGAAACUGAGUCUAAUUCCCGAUAGGACUGCAGGGUGGUGCCUGUGGUGGAAAACGAUUUUCUAGUGGUUGGGGAUGAGCUCGCGGCCUAUCAGCUUGUUGGUGGGGUAAUGGCCUACCAAGGCGGCGACGGGUAGCCGGCCUGAGAGGGUGGACGGCCACAUUGGGACUGAGAUACGGCCCAGACUCCUACGGGAGGCAGCAGUGGGGAAUAUUGCACAAUGGGCGGAAGCCUGAUGCAGCGACGCCGCGUGGGGGAUGACGGCCUUCGGGUUGUAAACUCCUUUCGACCGCGAGGAAGCCACCUGGUUGGAAGGGUGGUGACGGUAGUGGUAGAAGAAGCACCGGCUAACUACGCG
rnacentral:rRNA from 1 species